rnacentral:rRNA from 1 species
GAUAAACGCUGGCGGCGUGCCUAAUACAUGCAAGUCGAGCGACGCGGGGACGGGUGAGUAACACGUGGAUAACCUCCUAUAAGAAUGGGAUAACCUCGGGAAACCGGAGCUAAACCGGAUACUUAUAGAUGGAUCCGCGCUUCAUUAGCUAGUUGGUAAGGUAACGGCUUACCAAGGCAACGAUGCAUAGCCGACCUGCGAGGGUCAUCGGCCAAACUGGACCUGAGACACGGUGCCGACACCUACGGAAGGCAGCAGUAGGCAGUCUUUCGCAACGGGCGUAAGCCUGCCGGUUGACUGCCGCGGGGUUGAUGAAGGUCUUGGGCCCGUAACACUCUGUCAUGAAAGAAGUGGUAGCUAAUCAGAAAGCCGCGGCUACCUACAUUCCAGCAGCCGCGGUAAUUC